rnacentral:rRNA from 1 species
CGGACGGGUGAGUAACGCGUGGGUAACCUGCCUCAUACAGGGGGAUAACAGUUAGAAAUGACUGCUAAUACCGCAUAAGACCACAGCACCGCAUGGUGCAGGGGUAAAAACUCCGGUGGUAUGAGAUGGACCCGCGUCUGAUUAGGUAGUUGGUGGGGUAACGGCCUACCAAGCCGACGAUCAGUAGCCGACCUGAGAGGAUGAACGGCCACACUGGAACUGAGACACGGUCCAG